GCCUAUGUGAUGUAGUGGUUUGAGUGUUAGAUUAUGACUCUAAGACCAGGGUUUGAAUCCCUGCUCAGCCA